UUGACCUCGAAUCAGGUAGGAAUACCCGCUGAACUUAAGCAUAUCAAUAAGCGAAAGAAA
rnacentral:rRNA from 1 species